GUAGGUGGCAAGCGUUGUCCGGAAUUAUUGGGCGUAAAGCGCGCGCAGGCGGUUCUUUAAGUCUGAUGUGAAAGCCCACGGCUCAACCGUGGAGGGUCAUUGGAAACUGGAGAACUUGAGUACAGAAGAGGAAAGCGGAAUUCCACGUGUAGCGGUGAAAUGCGUAGAGAUGUGGAGGAACACCAGUGGCGAAGGCGGCUUUCUGGUCUGUAACUGACGCUGAGGCGCGAAAGCGUGGGGUAGCAAACAGGAUUAGAUACCUGGUAGUCCACGCCGUAAACCGAUGAGUGCUAAGUGUUAGGGGGGGUUUUACCCGGCCCCCCCGUUACGUGCUGCAGCUAACGCAUUAAGCACUCCGCCUGGGAGUACGGCCGCAAGGCUG
rnacentral:rRNA from 1 species